GGAAUUUUUUACAUGGACGAAAGUCUGAUGGAGCAAUACCACGUGAACGAUGAAGGUCUUCUGAUUGUAAAGUUCUUUUAUUUAGGAAAAAAAGCGCUACAGGAAAUGGUCGCGCCCUGAUUGUACUAAUUGAAUAAGUGACAGCUAACUAUGUGCCAGCAGCUGCGGUAAAACAUAGGUCACGAGCAUUAUCCGGAUUUAUUGGGCGUAAAGGAAGCGUAGGCUGAAGUGUGUAUCCAUUGUUAAAAGUACUUGCUUAACAAGUGUUCGCGGUGGAGAUUACACUUCUAGAAUUAGUUAGAGGGCACUGGAAUUCAAUGUGUAGUGGUGGAAUACGUAGAUAUAUUGAGGAACACCGGAGGCUAAGGCGAGUGCCUGGGACAUAAUUGACGCUGAGGCUUGAAAGCGUGGGUAGCAAAUGGGAUUAGAUACCCCASUAGUCCACGCCGUAAACSAUGGGUAUUASUCAUUUGAAUUUAASUUGAGUGAUGUAGCUAACGCSUUUAAUACCCCGCCYGGGUAGYAUAUAUGCAAAUAUGAAACYCAAGAAAUUGACGGGGACGUGCACAAGUGRUGGACCAUUGUGCCUAAUUAUAUAAUACUCGCCAAACCUUACCAAGGUUAGUAAUCUGCUGCCAAGCUAAAUCAAUAAAUUGAAUGUCAUCCGAAUAACCGGUGGUGCAUGGCUGUCGUCAACUCGUGUCUUGAGAUGUUUGGUUAAGUCCCGUAACGAGCGCAACCCUUCAUAUUAGUUGUUUAGUUCUAAUAUGACUGAAUCGUAAGAUCUAGGAAGGAUGGGGCCAAGUCAAGUCAUCAUGCCCCUUAUGCCUUGGGCUGCAAACGUGCUACAAUGGUAGAUACAAUGUGUUACAAUCUAGCGAUAGUGAGUUAAUCACCUAAAGUCUAUCUCAGUCCGGAUAAAAGGCUGCAAUUCGCCUAUUUGAAGAUGGAAUCACUAGUAAUCCCGUAAGG
rnacentral:rRNA from 1 species